GAAAAACAAGGUGAAUAGCAUUUGCAGAGCUUCAAGAAGCUAAAUAGACAGAUCUCACUAAUGGCUUUAAGCCCUCACAAGACUAAAACAAACUGUGUCUGCUUUCAGCAAGUCUCCAAAAAUGUGCAGACAGUUGAAGAUGAAACAAAAGGAUUUACAGAUA